ensembl:lncRNA
GAAAAUCCAAGGUCACAGAGCAAAGCUUUGAGCUGAAUUUCACUCUGACAGGCACAAAGGAUCCACAGGGCUGUGCGCCAGUCCAGGACCUCAGGAUAUCUCCUCCACCGUGCAGCAGCAGGAACCUCUCUAACCUCAGAAAAGCAUCUACUCAGAGCAGCUUCCAAACCACAUACUUUAUCCAGACGCUGUGGCAUUAAAAUCAAUUUCAGGAGUCAAGAGAGCGAAACCAGUGAAUUCUGAGUGAACACUGUUUAGACUGUUUGUGUAAGAAUGUGUUAACCACCUCAUCUCCAUGCACACUAUGAGAAAUGACCUAGGACGUCUUGUGUUUUCUCCCAUUUGACUUGUGGCUAAGUUGAUGAACUCAGAUAUCUACCAAGUAACCUUAUAGCAUGCUUUAGUGAUGUGGAACAGUCCUCAGACAUUUUUUUUAAAUUAAUUCAAUAAAAUUUGAGACUUUACUAGUGUGUGACCUUUUAUCUUAACUUAACCAGCCAAUACUUGGACAUUUUCUGGUGUAUCUUUGCCAAAUUACAAAUCCUGAUUCAGUUUGAUGGCAUGAAAGGUCAGAGAAAAUUUCAGCCUCUUAUCUUUUCAUAGUCUUUUAGUUAUUCCUGCUGAACAAUAAAAAAAGACCUGAAAGCAGGUUGAUGGACC